GUGCCCAUAGCUCAAUUGGAUAGAGCAUCUGACUACGGAUCAGAAGGUUGUAGGUUCAACUCCUACUGGGCACA
rnacentral:tRNA from 1 species